ensembl:lncRNA
GGAGACUGCCCCGCCCCCAAGAGUGUGGACGCCAAGGGGAUGCUCAGAGAUCUCCUGUCCAAUCCGACGCAUCAAGUAGAUGAGGGACCCGGGCCGGCGGGGCUGGAAUCGCAGCAGCCGCAGGAGUGGCCGCCGACGGAGGUGUCAUGCCCCACCCUGAGGAGCUUUCGUCAGGAUGGGAGCAGACGUGGGCUUUCGCGAUUGGGUAGAAUUCCAUGUAUGUUUCCAAGAGCCACGUGCUAACUUGGAUAGAGAAAACUAGCCGAGCACGUUCAGAAGUAAACCAGACAUCCUCACCCUGACGUGGAAACACACUCUGCCAAGCAGCUGGGGUCCUGGUUUUCUCUUUGCGGGGGGAGCCAAGAAAAACGGUGGUGUGUAAACUUAGCCAUCCGGCCUCCUCCGCCUCUUUAUCUGUCACUGCCAAAAUGCAGAAAUGAACUGUACGUGAGUUUUCUCUUUUUAAAGGUGGAUUAUCCUCUCCCCCAGGCCUCUAGGGGAGCAGCCAAAGCUCUGGACUUGCAGUCUGGCCUCAGAACUGGAGGCCCAGAGACAAGAGGCGCAGAGAGGAUUCUUCCUUGCACGUUUCCUUUUGCGGAAGAUCAGGUGCUAUUGCGUUGCUGUUUCACCGACAUGGACCACACUGAGGUUUUUCUCAUCAGCCGUGAGGCCUAUUAAAGGGAUUUCAUUCUUUGGAAAUGAAAAUAACCAGUGUAUCUCAGUUAAUAAAUAGAAAAGCAGGAAUUCCCAUCACAGCCCAGCAGAAACGAAUCUGACUAGGAACCAUGAGGGGUUGAACCUGUGCCCUCAUGGAUGCUAGUCAGAUUUGUUACCCACUGAGCCACAGCGGGAACUCCCACCAAGCCCCUUCCUUUAAUUGCCAGCCUCAUCCUGCCCAGGAAGCCUGCAGCCAUGGCACUGGCAGGGCUCUGAUAUUGAUCUCAGUGGUUCAGGGUUUCUGCUCGAGGCCUAUUUUUGCUCUUUCAACAGAUCAGCACAGGAGUUCAAGGAUCAAUCAUGAGUUCUCCCUACGGAUCCAUUUUAAUUGUGAUAUCAAAAACACAGUAAUCCUUUCUUAAGUUGGAAGAACGCGUCUAAAGCCAGAAUAAGAUUUUGCCAUCUCAGUAAUGAGCCCUUCACAGGCAGGCAAGAGGGGAGGCACGGGGGUUCCCGAGCUGGCCCUGAGCCUCCACACCCCUGCGCCUAAUUGAAGCUGCUGCAGUCAGUGGUUCAGGGCAGCCGGGUGCCCUCUCCCCUCCCUCCUUGCUGGGACAGCCGUGGGUUCUAGGAGGCCAACCUUCUCUGAAGGACCAUGGAGAAGCAGGAUUGGCCUGGCCAAAGUGGGAUGGCCGGGAGGUGGAGACAGCGGCCUGCUGUCCAUAAGCCCUUGUCUUUAGCUCAGAGGGAGUGGUCCGAGGUCUUCCUACAUUUUGAGGGGGCUCCAGCGUUGUGUGAACGUCUCCAGCCUCAAAGUCACCCACUGUGGGAAUGAAGAUAAAAUUCAGGCAACCAGUGUAAAGAAAUGAAGUGAUUGCAUUUCAUCCUCAGUUAAAUUUCUAGUCCCCCCCACCCUUGACUUCCUCUGAUCUUGGACACAUUUAAAGAAAGUGAGGAAUUUGCCAAAUGAGGUUAACGGAUUCUUUUCAAGGAAUGUGUGCUUUGUCGGACACGUUUCUUCCGCCCUCCGUGCUUUGAGCCCCCCCUUCUCAGGAUGGUGGGAACCAAUCAGAUGUGAGAUGGGGGGAGGGAGAAGGGGGGGCAGGAGGGGGGGUAGACCCGGGAAGGACACUCCUGCCUCAAGUUCCCUAAGGAGGCUCCAUUGGUUACCCGUUAAACAGGAUGCCAGAUACUUACUGAGUUUUUCAUUUUUAUGUUUUUUUUCAUUUUUUAAAGUUUUACUGACAUAUAGUUGAUUUGCAACCUUGUAAGACAUUCUGCCGCUCCACAAAGUGAUUCAGUGACACAUGUGCACACAUCCAUUCUCUUUCAGAUUCUUCUCGCAUUGUCACAGAACACCGGGUAGAGUUGGCCUUGGGCCAAUCCCUCCAUUCAUCUUACUGAAUUUUUUAAGUUAUCGAGGUCUAGUUAAUUUCCAGUGCGGUGAUAGUUUCAAGUGUACGUCAGAGGGAUUCAGUUAUACGAACACAUAUGUCGAUGUUCUUUUUCAGAUUCUUUUCCAUUAAAAGUGAUUACAAGAUAUUGACUAUAAUUCCCUGUGCGCUACGGUAGGUCCUUGUUGUUUACCCGUUUUAUAUACAGUAGUGUGUCUAUAUUAACCCCAAACUCCUACUUUAUCUCUCCCUCCCCUGCUUAUUAUAUUUUAUAAAAGCAUCCCUGGGUCCGAUCAGUUUGGGGAACACUGGGUUAGAGACGUGAGUGGUUUCCUUACUCAGGGGCUCUGAGGAUCCGCAUUAUGCUCAGGGUGAUAUUUGUACAAACUCUGCAGAGCUGCUUGGCCUUUGCACGAUAAGCUUCUUGCAGGACGGGUGUUACACGGAACACGCAUUAGGAGGGUCUGUUUUGGCUCAGGGAUUCUGGAGAUAUUUACCCAACAUCUAUUUGAAAUGUUCUCCAGUGGGAGAGGACAGACCCGUGUCUGCUUAGAUAGACCCUCCUGCUUCCAAGAAGGAAGAGUUGGGGGGAUUCUGGUUUCCCUCAGGCCCCUUCCUCAGAAGCCCUGCAGCUCCAGCCUCAGCAUGGCCCCUGGGCCCCUAGACUGGCUGUAUCCUUCACUCGCGAUUUAGCAAUAAACAGGAGUUCCCGUUGUGGCUCAGCAGGUUAAGGACCUGACAUAGUGUCCAUGAGGAUAUGGGUUCGACCCCUGGCCUCACUCAGUGGGUUAAGGAUCUGGCAUUGCUGUGGCUGGGGUGUAGGCCGGCAGCUGCAGCUCUGAUUUGAACCCUAGCUGGGGAAUAUCCAUAUGUGGCAGGGGCAGGCCUUAAAAAAAAAAAAAAAAAAAAAAAAAAAAA